AUGAAAACUCAGGUCGAGAUGCUGAAACCGGCAACUUUGGACGCGGCUAUGGACUUAGCCAUCUCUUUUGAACACCUCAAUACCGGCACCGGCACCGCGGCCACCCCUGGCCGGCCCAGCCGGCCACUCCGCCCCAUGGCCGCACCUACUCCGGCCUUACCAGACACCUCCAACCCCACGCCCGCGCUCGUCUUCAAAAGACUCACGCCGGCCGAGAUGGAUGAACGGCGCGCUAAGGGUCUCUGUUUCAAUUGUGACGAGAAGUUCACGCGGGGCCAUCGCUACAAACGGCUGUUCUACAUUUAG
rnacentral:rRNA from 1 species